rnacentral:rRNA from 1 species
ACGCUGUAAACGAUGGAUGCUAGCUGUUGGUCGUAUCCGACCCGAUCAGUAGCGAAGCUAACGCGUUAAGCAUCCCGCCUGGGGAGUACGAGCGCAAGCUUAAAACUCAAAGGAAUUGACGGGGACCCGCACAAGCGGUGGAGCGUGUGGUUUAAUUCGAUGCUACGCGAAGAACCUUACCAAGGCUUGACAUCCUGGGAAGGCCUUAGAAAUAAGGCUGUGCCGCAAGGAAUCCAGUGACAGGUGAUGCAUGGCCGUCGUCAGCUCGUGUCGUGAGAUGUUAGGUUAAGUCCUUCAACGAGCGCAACCCUCGUAGUUAGUUGUAUUUUCUAACUAGACUGCCUCGGUAACGGGGAGGAAGGGGAGGAUGACGCCUGGUCCGUAUUUCCCUUAUGUCUUGGGCAACACACACGCUACAAUGGCCGGUACAAUGAGUCGCAAAGCCGCGAGGUGAAGCUAAUCUCAUCAAAACCGGUCCCAGUUCGGAUUGUAGGCAGAAACUCGCCUGCAUGAAGUCGGAAUCGCUAGUAACCGUAGGUCAGCACACUACGGUGAAUACGUUCCCGGGUCUUGUACACACCGCCCGUCAUACCACGAAAGUCAGUAGCACCCGACAGUUCUGUUUUAUAUAGACCUAAGGUGAGAUUGAUGAUUGGGGUAAAGUCGUAACAAGGUGUACCGUACCGGAAGGU